rnacentral:lncRNA from 1 species
GUCCUGCAGGCAGUAAUGGAAAGGCUGAAAGGGUAGCAGACUCCAUCUUCCCCCAGCAUGCACCUUGUGUGGAUUCUCUGCUUCCUUAGGCCACAAGCCCCAGGUGGUCCUUUACUCUCCUCCCUUUCCUGAUUUUGACAAGUUACUUGAGAGCUUUGUUGUGAACACAGCCUACUCUCCAGGGCCGGAGAGAGAGACCUGUCUGCAUUCCAACACUGGCUGGGCCUGAAAACUGAAAACUAUUUCUGCAGGCAGGCAGAAGCUGAUUUCCAUAUGUCGCAAGCCGUGUCAAGUGUCACAGGCAGGGAACAAGAAGAAUUCUCUGCUUUGGUGACCUGGGACCAGCAAUAGAAGUAGGAAGAUUGCUCUCAGAGGCUUUGAGAGGAAGCAGGAGAAAGAGGCCGUGACCUUCUUCUGACCUUUGGCUCAUAAAUGACAGACUCCCCAGAGCACUUCUGUCUAGUUGGAUUCUGUACCUGGGAUCUCAGCCUUUACGUAGAAGCCAAGCAGCUGAACAGAAGGCAAGGACCGGAGCUACGGCAGCAUUUUUGGAACCCAGCAAAGCUGAACUUAAGCUGGAUUCAUCGCUAUGCCAAGGUGGCAGAGGUACAGACUACAGCAACAAAAAUAUGGCACAGUUGUUGUUUCUGACCUCUAACCGGCUCCAUGUGGCACCUGAGAGAUGGAUGUAGAGCUUCAAGGCUUUCUCUAUACUGCAAAGCAAUUUAUUCUGUAGUCUAAAGAUCCAGGUCAGAUGUGUUGGUGUUACACAAGAGGGUAACUUAGAAGCUGCAGCCCCAAGUCAGGACAUUCUCUAGAGAACCAACACUAUUUGAUGCAGAAGGUAUGAGUUAAAAAUAGAGUGACUUAGGAUUUCUAUUCUAUGCACAAACAUCAUGACCAUGAAGCAAGUUGGGGAGGAAAGGGUUUAUUCAGCUUACACUUCUCAUAUUGCUGUUCAUUACCAAAGGAAGUCAGGACUGGAACUCAAGCAGGUCAGGAGGCAGGAGCUGAUGCAGAGGCCAUGGAGGGAUGUUACUGGCUUGCUUCACCUGUUUUGCUCAGCUUGCUUUCUUAUAGAACCCAAGACUACCAGCCCAGGAUAGCACCACCCACAAUGGGCCCUCCCCAAUUGAUCAGUAAUUGAGAAAAUGCCUUGCAGCUGGAUCUCAUGGAGGCAUUUCCUCAAGGGAGGCUCCUUUCUCUGUGGUAACUCCAGCUUGUGUCAAGUUGACACGCAACACCAGCCAGUACACAGAGGAAGAGCACUGGAAUGUUUUCCCGGUGGGUACCAUAUCACUGGGUGUCUGUGCUGUGUCUGCAUGCCUUCCCAAUCUCAUUCACCACCAUCCCUAUACUAAAGACAAAAUCAGGAUCUGAGUGAUUCAGUAGAAGGCAGGAGGCCUGCAGCUGUCAGCAUAGUGAAGCCAUUGUUGCUAGCCCCUCACACUGCCUGAGUAUCUGGCAAUUUCUAGUCCAACCUCAGAGCCCUUGCUGAGAAAAUCCUUGUCCCUGAGUUCUGUGUGGGCUAACUGCCAGGUUCUAUGCUCAACCUGGAGGAAGUUGGUCUAAUGGUACUUUCAGCAAGGACUGCCCUUACUUGCUCUCCCAAUCCCCUUCCAUUCAUUACAGGGCCUGAACACCCAGAGGCCCUGACACAGCACCCACAGGAGCCGUACUUUAUCUUCUGCAGGAGCUAGUGUUGCUAUCCCUGAGAAAGGCCAAGCAUUCCAGGCUCCGUCAAGGAGCCUUGCAUGACUUAUGAAGUUUAUUUAGAGCCUAGGAGUGCCUUCCCUCUGGUGCAGAGAAGCUAUGUCUCCUCCUGGCUAGAGGCCUGGACAAUUAUGUGCUGGAAGAUUGGCUGGCAAAAAGCUGCAAGGCUCUCUCCAAACUGCAAAGCAAUUUAUUCUGGAAUCUGAAGAUUCAGGCCAGGAAUGAGGGUAUUUGGGCAAGAAGGUACUGAAGACCUUAAAGAUGUUCGUAAGGAAGUAGCUCAGAUGCCUUCAAAUCUGUGCUAAGCAGAUCACUCAAAGAGAGGCAAUACAAGUAGUAACAUGCUUGCUCUCCAAACAGCAAUAGUCUUCAUUAGUCAGAAAGCUUGGUGGCUGAAUGUUUAAACCCAUUUUACUGACAAGAACAUUCUGUUGCUACUGAUGCUAAAUUCUCUAUGGAUACAGUGUUCUCUAGUCUGUACUGACAGUGAGUUACUCUGACUGUCCUGUACUUCAUUUCUUCCUUUUGAGACUCGGUUUUAAAACAGAACACAAUAAAACCACCAUUUAUUUAACAGAUGAGACAAGAC